AACGGGAAGCAGACAACAGGGAUUGCCCUAGUAACGGCGAGUGAAGCGGCAACAGCUCAAAUUUGAAAUCUGGCCUCUUUGGGGUCCGAGUUGUAAUUUGCAGAGGGCGCUUUGGUGUUGGCAGCGGUCCAAGUUCCUUGGAACAGGACGUCACAGAGGGUGAGAAUCCCGUACGUGGUCGCUAGCCCUCACCGUGUAAAGCCCCUUCGACGAGUCGAGUUGUUUGGGAAUGCAGCUCUAAAUGGGAGGUAAAUUUCUUCUAAAGCUAAAUACUGGCCAGAGACCGAUAGCGCACAAGUAGAGUGAUCGAAAGAUGAAAAGCACUUUGGAAAGAGAGUUAAAAAGCACGUGAAAUUGUUGAAAGGGAAGCGCUUGCAGCCAGACUUGCCUGUAGUUGCUCAUCCGGGUUUUUACCCGGUGCACUCUUCUGCGGGCAGGCCAGCAUCAGUUUGGGCGGUUGGAUAAAGGUCUCUGUCAUGUACCUCUCUUCGGGGAGAACUUAUAGGGGAGACGACAUGCAACCAGCCUGGACUGAGGUCCGCGCAUCUGCUAGGAUGCUGGCGUAAUGGCUGUAAGCGGCCCGUCUUGAAACACGGACCAAGGAGUCUAACAUCUAUGCGAGUGUUUGGGUGUCAAGCCCGAGCGCGUAAUGAAAGUGAACGGAGGUGGGAACCUUUCGGGGUGCACCAUCGACCGAUCCUGAUGUCUUCGGAUGGAUUUGAGUAAGAGCAUAGCUGUUGGGACCCGAAAGAUGGUGAACUAUGCUUGAAUAGGGUGAAGCCAGAGGAAACUCUGGUGGAGGCUCGCAGCGGUUCUGACGUGCAAAUCGAUCGUCAAAUUUGGGCAUAGGGGCGAAAGACUAAUCGAACUAUCUAGUAGCUGGUUCCUGCCGAAGUUUCCCUCAGGAUAGCAGUAACGUUUUCAGUUUUAUGAGGUAAAGCGAAUGAUUAGAGGCCUGGGGGUUGAAACAA
rnacentral:rRNA from 2 species